AAACCAACAGGGAUGGCUCUAGUAACGGCGAGUGAAGCAGCCAAAGCUCAAAUUUGAAAGCUCCUAACAAGGCGCAUUGUAAUUUGAAGAUGGUAUUCUGAAUUAGUCCUUUACCUCAGUUCCUUGGAACAGGACGCCAUAGAGGGUGAGAGCCCCGUGUGGAAUUGGUCACUAAUUCGUGUAGUUUACCUUCAAAGAGUCGAGUUGUUUGGGAAUGCAGCUCUAAGUGGGUGGUAAAUUCCAUCUAAAGCUAAAUAUUGGCGAGAGACCGAUAGCGAACAAGUACUGUGAAGGAAAGAUGAAAAGAACUUUGAAAAGAGAGUGAAAAAGUACGUGAAAUUGUUGAAAGGGAAGGGAAUUAGACUAGACUUGGAUUUCUGUUAUCAGCAGUCUCUCGGGACUGUGCACUAGCAGUUUUCUAGGCCAGGAUCUGUUUGGAGGCCAGGAUAAAACCCAAAGAAUGUGGCUCCUCGGAGUGUUAUAGCUUUGGUUGAAUACUGGCAUUCUGGACAGAGGACCGCGCUUCGUGCUAGGAUCCUGGCGUAAUAGUCUUAUUCCACCCGUCUUGAAACCACGGACC
rnacentral:rRNA from 1 species